CCAGGAACCUUAUACUCUCUCUUUCAGGCUCUCAGAGAAAGGCUGGUCUGUGGGCUUGAGUAAGAACAAGAAAAAUUUCAACCAGGAAAAGAAUUUAUAGGAUGCACUGCCCUGGCUUGCUGUGGGCAUUCAUAGCCUCCUUUGGUUUCAGAUGCAGCAUGGCUGAGAAAGUAAACCAAGCUCAGAUCACAAUAACAAUGCAGGAGGGGGAAGCUGUUACCUUGGGUUGCAUGUAUGAAACCAAAUGGAGUUCUUAUGGUUUGUACUGGUACAAACAGCCUCCCAGUGGAGAGAUGGUUUUCCUUAUUCAGCAGGAAUAUUCUAAGCCUAAUGCAAAGCAGGAUCGCUACUCUGUGAAUUUUCAGAAGGCAAACAAAUCCAUCAACCUCACCAUCUCUUCCUUACAACUGGCAGACUCAGCGAAGUACUUCUGUGCUCUCUGGGAUCCCACAGUAGUAGAAAUGACAGUGAAAGGUAAACAAAAACCUUAGAGCUGCAUAAAGGACAGCCACCUGUUCAGGGGUUUGGGGAAAUCCCACGAACCACAUACA